rnacentral:rRNA from 1 species
AUGGUCUUCUUCCCUUGCGACCCGCUCCCCCACCUUCCCCCCGGCACUUCAACCAUCCCUCCUGGCCCCCUUCGUGCUCGCCGUGGAUAUGUGGUACUUAGCGGUGAGCUUCCAAUGGUGUGCAAUGAGUGGGCAAUCACCACGCUCGUCCCCGAGGUAUCUGCUGAGGAGUUUCAUUGCGCCAUCGCCUUGAUCACCAACUACUUGGAGGCGCGUGGAUGGCACAUCAACUACACCUCUCUCCGUGGUAUGGGCACUACUUUGAUUCAGUUUACUACUGCCUGCUCGCGUGAUACUGCUGUCAGUCUUAGCCCAUUUCAGAUUGGGGAUUCUGUUCUUAGAAUUAGCAAACGGGACAGAGGCAUAAAUUACCACAGCAUUACUUUCAUGCAUGAUGUUUGGAUCUUACUCAUGAACUAUCCUCUUGAGUGUUGGGAUGUGGGGGUCAUCAACCGCACUGUCUCGCCUUAUGGUCGCUUUGUGAUCUGGAACAAAGAUCCAAGGGACAAGUCAAGGGUUGUUGUUAAGCUCAGGGUUAUGAAUGUGGACACAAUACCAAUCAGUUUAGUUGUGCUGAGAAAUCUUGAUGAUGUUGAUUAUGGUGACUCAUGGACCUGCCCCACUUAUAUUCUGUCUCAGGAGCUGAUUGGUCAGCAAGGGGGGGAUGAGGAUCCACUGCCCCCAAAUGGUGGAAAUCCUCACCCUCUUCCUCAUGUUCAUGGAGAGUUUUGGCAUGAUGAGGUUUUAGGGAAUAUUCCUAUGGAUCAGGUGGUUAUUAAUCCUCACAAUGAGAAUCUUGGUGCACCUUGUGAAGAUGUUCAUGCUGUCCAUAAUGAUAAUGUGAACCACACUGCUGAACACAUAGCUGCUGCUGCUGAACCUAAUGUUGUUGAUCAUAUGGAGGCACCUGUCAUGGAGGAAACACAGGCACCCAUCCAGAUACACACUAACACACACUAUGUUGCUCCUCAUGAGACUCUUGGGCCUGCUUAUAUCCCAAUUAAUCCUAUGUCCUCUCAGCCCAGCUCCUAG